UACGUAGGGUGCGAGCGUUAAUCGGAAUUACUGGGCGUAAAGCGUGCGCAGGCGGUUUUGCAAGCCGGAUGUGAAAUCCCCGGGCUCAACCUGGGAAUGGCAUUGGAAACUGGCUCGCUGGAGUGUGGCAGAGGGGGGUGGAAUUCCGCGUGUAGAGGUGAAAUUCGUAGAUAUCAAGCGGAACACCGGUGGCGAAGGCGGCCUUCUGGACAGUGACUGACGCUGAGAUGCGAAAGCGUGGGGAGCAAACAGG
rnacentral:rRNA from 1 species